AAUAUACGAAGGUGCUGCAGUGGUUGUCGUCAGCUCGUGCCGUGAGGUGUCGGGUUAAGGUACCCAUAACGAGCGCAACCCUUGUCCUUAGUUACCAGCACGUUAUGGUGGGCACUCUAAGGAGACUGCCGGUGACAAACCGGAGGAAGGUGGGGAUGACGUCAAGUCAUCAUGGCCCUUACGGCCUGGGCUACACACGUGCUACAAUGGUCGGUACAAAGGGUUGCCAAGCCGCGAGGUGGAGCUAAUCCCAUAAAACCGAUCGUAGUCCGGAUCGCAGUCUGCAACUCGACUGCGUGAAGUCGGAAUCGCUAGUAAUCGUGAAUCAGAAUGUCACGGUGAAUACGUUCCCGGGCCUU
rnacentral:rRNA from 1 species